GUAACAUUGACAGUUUAAUACAUUUUCUGUCCGCCUGGGUACUACGAGCAUUAGCUUAAAACCCAAAGGACUUGGCGGUGCUUUAGACCCACCUAGAGGAGCCUGUUCUAGAACCGAUAAUCCCCGUUCAACCUCACCCUUCCUUGCUCGUCCCGCCUAUAUACCACCGUCGCCAGCUUACCCUGUGAAGGCUAAAAAGUAAGCGAAAUUGGCAUUGCCCAGAACGUCAGGUCGAGGUGUAGCGAAUGGAAGGGGAAGAAAUGGGCUACAUUCCCUUUUGAAGUAUAGGGUAUAAACGAAAGAUGCACUGAAACCGUACAUCCGAAGGAGGAUUUAGCAGUAAGCGGAAAGUAGAGUGUUCCACUGAAACCGGCUCUUAAGCGCGCACACACCGCCCGUCACUCUCCCCGAAACUUUACCAAAACAUUAAUUAAAAUGCCAAAAUCAUAGAGGGGAGGCAAGUCGUAACAUGGUAAGUGUACUGGAAAGGUGCAA
rnacentral:rRNA from 1 species